GACGAACGCUGGCGGCGUGCCUAAUACAUGCAAGUAGAACGCUGAAGGAGGAGCUUGCUUCUCUGGAUGAGUUGCGAACGGGUGAGUAACGCGUAGGUAACCUGCCUGGUAGCGGGGGAUAACUAUUGGAAACGAUAGCUAAUACCGCAUAAGAUUGACUAUUGCAUGAUAGUCAGUUAAAAGGUGCAAUUGCAUCACUACCAGAUGGACCUGCGUUGUAUUAGCUAGUUGGUGGGGUAACGGCUCACCAAGGCGACGAUACAUAGCCGAACUGAGAGGGUGAUCGGCCACACUGGGACUGAGACACGGCCCAGACUCCUACGGGAGGCAGCAGUAGGGAAUCUUCGGCAAUGGACGGAAGUCUGACCGAGCAACGCCGCGUGAGUGAAGAAGGUUUUCGGAUCGUAAAGCUCUGUUGUAAGAGAAGAACGAGUGUGAGAGUGGAAAGUUCACACUGUGACGGUAUCUUACCAGAAAGGGACGGCUAACUACGUG
rnacentral:rRNA from 1 species